UCUCCCCCCUCUCUCUCCUCUUCACCACGUUAAAAAACCCUCUUUGAUUACACACCAUUGAACCGAAACCCAUAAAAACGAUAUCGAUAAAAAAAAAAAAAAAAAAAGCCAUAUAAACGCAGGACGAAACCAAAAGGAAGAACAAGAAAUAGAGCUUCCACACAAUCAAACCAACAAGAAGGAAGAAAAAAUCAAGGCCCGAAUGAAUCGUUGCUUCCAAUCUGCCCAUUCACUGCAAAAGGUCGACAACGAGCCGUUGAUUACAUCGAUUAAGAUUGCUCUAAUUAUUUCUCCUCUCCAAAAAGUAUGUAAAAGUCGGUGAAGAAUACAGAAAUUUGACAUCAAGUAGUACUAGAUAAUAACUACUGGGUAUGGUUGAAUGAUGCUCUUGGUUCUUCGGUCUCAUUUUAGGGUGGAUUUCUUAGUUGAUUUCUGUUUGUCUGUAGUCUUUUACAGUGUUUAGAUGUUUUCUAUCGAUUAAUUUACCAAUUUAUGUGUUAUUGGCGAGCUAUAGUUUCUACUAGAAGGGAUUACUGUUUGUUUGCCAAUUGAACUUAAAUCAUUCUGUUGUGUGAGACCUCUCAACGGUGGCUGAACCAAAGCACAAGGUGAUAAAUCAGGAAUCAUUUAGUCAAAGAGAGAUGUUGAAGUGCUUGGUGGAUUCGUGGAACCACAAUGUGGACCGCCGCAUGCUAAGGCAGGUGCCUAAGAAUUGGAAAUCGGAGAUAAAGAAUAGUGAGGGUGGUCAUUUUGCUGACUAGGGGCAGAAAUCUGGCUUGGAUCAGAUGGUCAGAUGGUGCUGAGGUAUGACAGUUUAGAUAGGGUAGUGGAACUUGUUGAGCAUUUGGUCAUGUUUAGGAUGUUGUCAAUUUCGUGUUUUCAUUUGUUUAAUAAUGCUUUACUUUCGAAGAAAGGAGUAGCUUAUGCAUUCUUUAAAGUUGUGGCUGUUGUGAAUUUUGACAUUGAGUGGUAAAUUGCUAAGCAUGUAGUUUGAGAUGAUAAAAUUGUUUGGUGUCAACCACGGGACCUUAAAAAUGUGAGUACUUGAGUUUGAAGGGGUUAAAGGAAAUAUGAAGUGUUAUGUAUUCAAAUUGUGAGAAAGGUCUGGAAUUCUUCGAAAAA